GACUGCAAGCUGACUGUGGCCAAAUUCAGAUUUAAACUGAAGAAAGUAGGGAAAUCCACUAGACCAUGCAGGUAUGACCUAAAUCAAAUCCCUUAUGAUUUUACAGUGGAAAUGACAAAUAGAUUCAAGAGAUUAGAUCUGAUAGAGUGCCUGAAGAGCUAUGAAUGGCAGUUCUUAACAUUGACGGGAGCUGGUGAUCAAAACCAUCCCCAAGAAAAAAUGCAAAACGAUUGUCUGAGGUGGCCUUACAAAUAGCUGAGAAAAGAAGGCAAGCAAAAGGCAAAGGAGAAAAGGAAAGAUAUAUCCAUCUGAGUGCAGAGUUCCAAAGAAUAGCAAGGAGAGAUAAAGCCAUCCUACAUGAUCAAUGCAAAGAAAUAGAGGAAAACAAUAGAAUGGGAAGGACUAGCGAUCUCUUCAAGAAAAUUAGAGAUACCAAGGGAAGAUUUCAUGCAAAGAUGGCCUCAAUAAAGGACAGAAACAGUAUGGACCUAACAGAAACAGAAGAUAUUAAGAAGAGGUGGCAAGAAUACACAGAAGAACUAUACAAAAAAGGUCUUUACACCCCAGAUAACCACAAUGAAGUGAUCACUCACCUGGAGCCAGAUCCUGGAGCCAUCCUGGAGUGUGAUGUUAAGUGGGCCUUAGGAAGCAUCACUAUGAACAAAGCUAGUAGAGGUGAUGGAGUUCCAGUUGAGCUAUUUCAAAUCCUUAAAAAAUGAUGCUGUGAAAGUGCUGCACUCAAUAUGCCAGCAAAUGUGGGCAACUCAGCAGUGGCCACAGGACUGGAAAAGGUCAGUUUUCAUUCCAAUCCCAAGGAAAAGGAAUGCCAAAAAUGUUCAAACUACCCCACAUUUGCACUCAUUCCAUAUGCUAGCAAAGUAAUGCUCCAUAUUCUCUAAGCCAGGCUUCAACAUUAUGUGAAUGGAGCACUUCCAGAUGUUCAAGCUGGAUUUAGAAAAAGCAGAGGAACCAGAGAUCAAAUUGCCAACAUCUGUUGGAUUGGAGAAAAAGCAAGGGAAUUCCAGAAAAAACAUCUACUUCUGCUUCAUUGACAAAGCUAAAGCCUUUGACUGUGGGGAUCACAAUAAACUGUGGAAAAUUCUUCAAGGGAUUGGGAAUACCAGACCACCUGACCCACCUCCUGAGAAACCUGUAUGCAGGUCAAGAAGCAACAGUUAAAACCAGACACGGUAAAAAGGAUUGGUUCCAAAUUGGUAAAAGAGUACAUCAAGGCUGUAUAUUGUCACCCUGCUUAUUUAACUUCUAUGCAGAGUACAUCAUGCAAAAUGCCUGGCUGGAUGAUAUUAUAAGCAGGAAUCAAGAUUGUUGGGAGAAAUAUCAAUAACCUCAGAUAUGCAGAUGACACCACACUUACUGUAGAAAGCGAAAAGGAACAAAAGAGCCUUUUGAUGAAAAUGAAAAAGGAGAGUGAAAAAUCUGGUGGAAAACUCAACAUUCAAAAAACUAAGAUCAUAGCAUCUGGUCCUACACUUCACAGCAAAUAGAUGGAGAAACAAUGGAAACAGUGAAAAACUUUAUUUUGGGGGGCUCCACAAUCACUGCAGAUGGUGACUGAGGCCAUGAAAUUAAAACAUGUUUGCUCCUUGAAAGAAAAGCUAUGACCAACCUAAACAGCAUAUUCAAAAGCAGAGACAUCACUUUGCCAGCAAAAGUCCAUACAGUCACCGCUAUGGUUUUUCCCAUAGUCAUGUAUGGAUGUGAGAUUUGGACCAUAAAGAAGGCUGAGCUCAGAAGAAUUGCUGCUUUUGAACUGUGGUGAUGGAGAAGACUCUUGAGAGUCCCUUGGACAGCAAGGAGAUCAAACCAGUCAAUUGUAAAGGAAAUCAACCCUGAAUAUUCACUGGAAGGAUUAAUGCUGAAGCUGAAGCUUCAAUACUUUGGUCACCUGAUGCAAAAAACUGACUCAGAAAAGACUCCGAUGCUGGGAAAGACUGACAGCAGGAGGAGAAGGGGACGACAGAGGAUGAGAUGGUUGGAUGGCCUCACUGACUUGAAGGACUCAAGUUUGAGCAAGCUCCGGGAGUUGGUGAUGGACAGGGAAGUCUGGAGUGCAGCGUUCCACGGGGUCUCAAGGAGUCACACAUGACUGAGCAAAUGAACUGAACUGAUUCACACUGGAAAAAGAGUUAAGUUACAUAUCUUGAUUAAAUAUUAAAUACUGACAGUAAUAUAUAUAAAAUAUACAUAUACAUACAUAUAUAUAUAUAAAACACUCAUAGUCACCAUAACAACCAAAGUGAAAGUGAAGUUGCUCAGUCGUGUCCGACUCUUUGCGACCCUGUGGACUGUAGCCAACCAGACUUCUAAGUCCAUGGGAUUCUCCAGGCAAGAAUACUGGAGUGGGUUACCAUUUCCUUCUCCAAAUACACCAAUCAAAAGCUUGCUAAUCAUCAAGUUAAUUAAUGAGAUCACUCUGUGCACACACGUCCAUACAAAUAGGACAUGCUCACACACACACAAACAACUUUAAGUCCCCCCAACAUCCUACAGUUUAUAGUUUUUUAAAAGCAGGAAUCUUUAGCAAACAAAAAGUCCAGAAUAUUUAUAUGAUUUUAUUAAUAAUAAUUUGUGAAGCUGAAAACUAGCUUUUCCAAACUGUUGGUACUUAAAGCCAGCUUCAAGUAAUCAUGCUAGAGAAAAGUUUAAAUUAUCUUUCUCUUCUCUCUGUGGAAAACAUCACUAAUUCUUUGCUAUAAGAAACAGCAAUCAAAAAGAGUGCACCAAAAUUGAGGCAACAAAAUCACAGAAGUGUAUUCUAGAUUGUUUUUGGUUUCAUUGAAAAAUUUAGAUUUGAAGUAUAAUUUUUAUGACUGUACAAUCCACUUAUCUGUACUUUCAGCUAUUCAAAGCUUGUGUGUGUGUGUGUGUGUGUGUGUGUGUGUGUGUGUGUGUGUGAAGUCGCUCAGUCGUGUUCGACUCUUUGCG
ensembl:lncRNA